UGGUGCUUUACAGUUUUCAAAAAUUCGUACCAAAAUUCUUUCACAUUUCAACCCCGCGAAUUAUACUCUUAAAAGUUAAAAAGCCAGGUCCAGAGUUGUAUCUAUAUUUCCAGCCCUUACCUGGAGUAUAACUCUCCGCUGAAGCUUGGGUAUCAUGCAGGUGCCUCAACCUCAUCAGUAAUACCUAAUGCGGCUAUUUCCUCCACCAAAAUUGGUCCAACUCCAUCCCCAUCUCAACUGAUGGCACCCAAACCAGGAUUUAGGGAGUUACCCUGAACCCUCUCUGCAUAGAAAAUGCACUUUAAAAAAAAAUCAUUCAUUGUUGACCUGAAAUUCACAUUUACGUGGCGUCCUGUAUUUUAUCCCGCAAACUCACACUCUGGGAAAAAGCGCAGCUGGAACCUCUCCAUUUCAUCCUCCGCGGUGAGUUUUCUUUCUAAAAUCUGAGAUCGAGUAGGCUGCUGUAACUGUUACUACCCAAGAGAAGAAAAAGGUUUUCGAUAAACAGUUAGAUCCAAGAGCAAGGACGUGUCCACUACUCAGUAAACCUGUCUGUGAAGAGUCAGGGACAGGCAGAAACCGAGAUUAGGACAGUGAGAACUUCCCGACACUUAGACCCUGGCGUCCGCCGCCCCGCGCUUGACGGCCCCUUUUGCAGCGGCCGUUGUGCGUGCCGUAAAGCGGAUUGUCACCGCUGCUGUUCCGCGAGGUGAGGCGCGACUAACUCUGAUCUAUUGCUGGGCUUGGGAUGGCACUGCGCCGAGUCAUUGUGGACGGGUGGCCCCAGCCAGGUAUUCCUGGUGACCCGGAUACCUUCACCAGGCAUCUCUCGGCAUUCUGGGCACCUGCUCUCCCCGCGGCGGGAGGUGACCGAGGCGGGCCACAGACUGAGCGGUCCCCGAGCAGGUUGCUUCUCACCGAGUCCGUUCACGAGCAUCUCGUGGUAGACGUCCACUCGGCGGGUCCUCCCUCCUGGGAGCGUCCGCAGAAAGCAAGAUUAUCUUCCAAUCCAUAA
ensembl:lincRNA